AGAUUGAACGCUGGCGGCAUGCCUAACACAUGCAAGUCGAACGGGAGUAGCAAUACUCUAGUGGCGGACGGGUGAGGAAUACGUAGGAAUUUGCCCUUAAGUGGGGGAUAACCCGGGGAAACCCGGAUUAAUACCGCAUGACCUCGAAAGAGCAAAGUGGGGGAUCGCAAGACCUCACGCUUUUGGAGAAGCCUACGUCGGAUUAGCUAGUUGGUGAGGUAAUGGCUCACCAAGGCGACGAUCCGUAACUGGUCUGAGAGGAUGAUCAGUCACACCGGAACUGAGACACGGUCCGGACUCCUACGGGAGGCAGCAGUGGGAAUAUUGGACAAGUGGGCGCAAGCCUGAUCCAGCAAUGCCGCGUGUGUGAAGAAGGCCUUCGGGUUAGUAAAGCUACGUUUAAGUUAGG
rnacentral:rRNA from 1 species